rnacentral:tRNA from 1 species
CGGGGCGUGGCUCAGCUUGGUAGAGCGCUUGGUUCGGGACCAAGAGGUCGCUGGUUCAAAUCCAGUCGCCCCGACCA